rnacentral:rRNA from 1 species
CCUACGGGAGGCAGCAGUGGGGCAUAUUGCACAAUGGGGGAAACCCUGAUGCAGCGACGCCGCGUGAGUGAAGAAGUAUUUCGGUAUGUAAAGCUCUAUCAGCAGGGAAGAAAAUGACGGUACCUGACUAAGAAGCCCCGGCUAACUACGUGCCAGCAGCCGCGGUAAUACGUAGGGGGCAAGCGUUAUCCGGAUUUACUGGGUGUAAAGGGAGCGUAGACGGUGAUGCAAGUCAGAAGUGAAAGCCCGUGGCUCAACUCCGGGACUGCUUUUGAAACUGUGUGACUGGAGUGCAGGAGAGGUAAGCGGAAUUCCUGGUGUAGCGGUGAAAUGCGUAGAUAUCAGGAGGAACACCAGUGGCGAAGGCGGCUUACUGGACUGUAACUGACGUUGAGGCUCGAAAGCGUGGGGAGCAAACAGGAUUAGAUACACCGGUAGUC